rnacentral:tRNA from 1 species
AGCCGAACAGGCGGAAGAUUUGGGCCCGCGGCUGCUUCAGCCAGUCGGAGACGGCUGCAAGCGCCGCGUCCUGCUGCGGCGACCA